rnacentral:rRNA from 1 species
UACGUAGGAGGCAAGCGUUGUCCGGAAUUACUGGGCGUAAAGCGCGUGUAGGUGGUGGGACAAGUCUGCUGUGAAAGCGCCUGGCUUAACCGGGCGAGGUCGGCGGAAACUGUUCGACUCGAGGACGGUAGAGGGGGGUGGAAUUCCCGGUGUAGUGGUGAAAUGCGUAGAGAUCGGGAGGAACACCUGUGGCGAAGGCGGCCCCCCUGGGCCGGCCCUGACACUGAGACGCGAAGGCGUGGGGAGCGAACGGG